rnacentral:lncRNA from 1 species
AAUUAGGGUUUUCGUCCAAUUUUGGGUUUUCCUGUCGUGCUUCUAUCCCAUCGUGCUUGCUUCCCAUCCUGCUUAAUUUUUGUCCUGCUUCCAAUGUCUUCGAAAUAAUAUCCCCCUGAUACAAAGUUUUGCGGAAAACUUCAUGCUGAAGAAACAUCGUUCUUGUAAACCGUCGAGCUUCUAGAACGUCGUGCUUCCAAAAAGAUUAUGCUUCCAAAACAUCCAUCUGAUCAAUCUAAGACGUCUUCUAACUAUGGUCGAGCAACUUAUUCGACUCAUAGUUCACUCACGAUCACUUCUUCGCCCACCUCGUACUUCAAAACUUCUCGAUUGAUCCUUAUCGCCCGCGACUCGACCACCACAAAGAUACUCGACCAUUCUCUCUC